rnacentral:rRNA from 1 species
GGGUUGUGAGGUUAAGCGACUAAGCGUACACGGUGGAUGCCCUGGCAGUCAGAGGCGAUGAAGGACGUGCUAAUCUGCGAUAAGCGCCGGUAAGGUGAUAUGAACCGUUAUAACCGGCGAUUUCCGAAUGGGGAAACCCAGUGUGAUUCGUCACACUAUCAUUAACUGAAUCCAUAGGUUAAUGAGGCGAACCGGGGGAACUGAAACAUCUAAGUACCCCGAGGAAAAGAAAUCAACCGAGAUUCCCCCAGUAGCGGCGAGCGAACGGGGAGGAGCCCAGAGCCUGAAUCAGCAUGUGUGUUAGUGGAAGCGUCUGGAAAGGCGCGCGAUACAGGGUGACAGCCCCGUACACAAAAGCGCAUGUGCUGUGAGCUCGAUGAGUAGGGCGGGACACGUGGUAUCCUGUCUGAAUAUGGGGGGACCAUCCUCCAAGGCUAAAUACUCCUGACUGACCGAUAGUGAACCAGUACCGUGAGGGAAAGGCGAAAAGAACCCCGGCGAGGGGAGUGAAAAAGAACCUGAAACCGUGUACGUACAAGCAGUGGGAGCACAGGUUUACCUGUGUGACUGCGUACCUUUUGUAUAAUGGGUCAGCGACUUAUAUUCUGUAGCAAGGUUAACCGUAUAGGGGAGCCGUAGGGAAACCGAGUCUUAACCGGGCGUUAAGUUGCAGGGUAUAGACCCGAAACCCGGUGAUCUAGCCAUGGGCAGGUUGAAGGUUGGGUAACACUAACUGGAGGACCGAACCGACUAAUGUUGAAAAAUUAGCGGAUGACCUGUGGCUGGGGGUGAAAGGCCAAUCAAACCGGGAGAUAGCUGGUUCUCCCCGAAAGCUAUUUAGGUAGCGCCUCGUGAACUCAUCUCCGGGGGUAGAGCACUGUUUCGGCUAGGGGGCCAUCCCGGCUUACCAACCCGAUGCAAACUGCGAAUACCGGAGAAUGUUAUCACGGGAGACACACGGCGGGUGCUAACGUCCGUCGUGAAGAGGGAAACAACCCAGACCGCCAGCUAAGGUCCCAAAGUCAUGGUUAAGUGGGAAACGAUGUGGGAAGGCCCAGACAGCCAGGAUGUUGGCUUAGAAGCAGCCAUCAUUUAAAGAAAGCGUAAUAGCUCACUGGUCGAGUCGGCCUGCGCGGAAGAUGUAACGGGGCUAAACCAUGCACCGAAGCUGCGGCAGCGACACUCAGGUGUUGUUGGGUAGGGGAGCGUUCUGUAAGC